UCGUAGGGACCCGUCCCUAUUGAGAUAGCACCCUUUGUUUAUGAGUACCACCCGUUUCCUCGGCAGGUCCGCCUGCCGCCAGGACCCCACCAAACCCAUUGUCGUAGCAGUGCCAUCAGAAACAUAAACUAUUUA
rnacentral:misc_RNA from 1 species